UACGUAGGGUGCGAGCGUUGUCCGGAAUUACUGGGCGUAAAGAGCUCGUAGGUGGUUUGUCGCGUUGUUCGUGAAAACUCACAACUCAAUUGUGGGCGUGCGGGCGAUACGGGCAGACUGGAGUACUGCAGGGGAGACUGGAAUUCCUGGUGUAGCGGUGGAAUGCGCAGAUAUCAGGAGGAACACCGGUGGCGAAGGCGGGUUGCUGGGCUGACACUGACGCUGAGGCGCGAAAGCUAGGGGAGCGAACGGG
rnacentral:rRNA from 1 species